ACUCAAAGGAAUUGACGGGGACCCGCACAAGCAGUGGAGUAUGUGGUUUAAUUCGAAGCAACGCGAAGAACCUUACCAGGGCUUGACAUCCACAGAACCCCCAAGAGAUUGGGGGGUGCCGCAAGGAACUGUGAGACAGGUGGUGCAUGGUUGUCGUCAGCUCGUGUCGUGAGAUGUUGGGUUAAGUCCCGCAACGAGCGCAACCCUUACCGUUAGUUGCUACCAUUCAGUUGAGCACUCUAGCGGGACUGCCGGUGACAAAUCGGAGGAAGGUGGGGACGACGUCAAAUCAUCAUGCCCCUUAUGUCCUGGGCUACACACGUACUACAAUGGCCGUUAACAAAGGGAAGCAAUACCGCGAGGUGGAGCAAAUCCCCAAAAGCGGCCUCAGUUCAGAUUGCAGGCUGAAACCCGCCUGCAUGAAGUCGGAAUUGCUAGUAAUCGCGAAUCAGCAUGUCGCGGUGAAUACGUUCCCGGGUCUUGUACACACCGCCCGU
rnacentral:rRNA from 1 species